CUCUCACCGCGCAUUUUGAGGAGGCAUCCACUGCAAAAGAGAGAUCAAAGAUCUCUAAACUCGGUGCCUUUUGCUGCGGGCUCAGUUUGUGCAAUCAGCACACGAUCGUGCUUUAUAUCGCUUGCAUCGUGCCUUGGGUUCUCUCCCGGCUUUUCAGAAAGACGGAAUUGUCCCUAGGCCAUUUGCUGAAGUUGGGUUUAUGCUUCUUGGCUGGUUUGCUGCCUUAUCUCUAUCUGCCGGCUUCGUCCUACCUCAAUAGAGCCCGUUGGACAUGGGGAGACCAGACGACUUUUCAAGGAUUUUUGACCCACUUUCUCAGGGAAGAAUAUGGGACAUUCAAUCUGGCCAAGUCCGAGACAGGAUCCAGUAUGAGAGAGAUACUGG